rnacentral:rRNA from 1 species
UACGGAGGGGGCUAGCGUUGUUCGGAUUCAUUGGGCGUAAAGCGCGCGUAGGCGGUUUGGCAAGUCGGAUGUGAAAUCCCGAGGCUCAACCCCGGGCGUGCAUCUCGAUACUGCCCGACUAGAGGUAGGUAGGGGAGAUCGGAAUUCCUGGUGUAGCGGUGAAAUGCGCAGAUAUCAGGAGGAACACCGGUGGCGAAGGCGGAUCUCUGGGCCUUACCUGACGCUCAGGCGCGAAAGCUAGGGGAGCGAACAGG